CCUACGGGAGGCAGCAGUGGGGAAUCUUGCGCAAUGGGCGAAAGCCUGACGCAGCCAUGCCGCGUGAAUGAUGAAGGUCUUAGGAUUGUAAAAUUCUUUCACCGGGGACGAUAAUGACGGUACCCGGAGAAGAAGCCCCGGCUAACUUCGUGCCAGCAGCCGCGGUAAUACGAAGGGGGCUAGCGUUGCUCGGAAUUACUGGGCGUAAAGGGAGCGUAGGCGGAUAGUUUAGUCAGAGGUGAAAGCCCAGGGCUCAACCUUGGAAUUGCCUUUGAUACUGGCUAUCUUGAGUACGGAAGAGGUAUGUGGAACUCCGAGUGUAGAGGUGAAAUUCGUAGAUAUUCGGAAGAACACCAGUGGCGAAGGCGACAUACUGGUCCGUUACUGACGCUGAGGCUCGAAAGCGUGGGGAGCAAACAGGAUUAGAUACCCUGGUAGUCCACGCUGUAAACGAUGAGUGCUAGUUGUCGGCAUGCAUGCAUGUCGGUGACGCAGCUAACGCAUUAAGACACCUCCGCCGUCGGGGAGGUACGGUCCGGCGAAGAAUUAAAACUAACAAAGGAAAGUUAGUACGGCGNGAGACGUGCCGAACGGACGACGACGAGGGAGGAGG
rnacentral:rRNA from 1 species